UUUUCAUCAGACAAUCUGUGUGAGCACUGCAAAGAACAGUUCUUUAAGGUAAGGAGGUGAUCCAACCGCAGGUUCCCCUACGGUUACCUUGUUACGACUUCACCCCAGUCAUGAAUCACAAAGUGGUAAGCGCCCUCCCGAAGGUUAAGCUACCUACUUCUUUUGCAACCCACUCCCAUGGUGUGACGGGCGGUGUGUACAAGGCCCGGGAACGUAUUCACCGUGGCAUUCUGAUCCACGAUUACUAGCGAUUCCGACUUCAUGGAGUCGAGUUGCAGACUCCAAUCCGGACUACGACGCACUUUAUGAGGUCCGCUUGCUCUCGCGAGGUCGCUUCUCUUUGUAUGCGCCAUUGUAGCACGUGUGUAGCCCUGGUCGUAAGGGCCAUGAUGACUUGACGUCAUCCCCACCUUCCUCCAGUUUAUCACUGGCAGUCUCCUUUGAGUUCCCGGCCGGACCGCUGGCAACAAAGGAUAAGGGUUGCGCUCGUUGCGGGACUUAACCCAACAUUUCACAACACGAGCUGACGACAGCCAUGCAGCACCUGUCUCACGGUUCCCGAAGGCACAUUCUCAUCUCUGAAAACUUCCGUGGAUGUCAAGACCAGGUAAGGUUCUUCGCGUUGCAUCGAAUUAAACCACAUGCUCCACCGCUUGUGCGGGCCCCCGUCAAUUCAUUUGAGUUUUAACCUUGCGGCCGUACUCCCCAGGCGGUCUACUUAACGCGUUAGCUCCGGAAGCCACGCCUCAAGGGCACAACCUCCAAGUAGACAUCGUUUACGGCGUGGACUACCAGGGUAUCUAAUCCUGUUUGCUCCCCACGCUUUCGCACCUGAGCGUCAGUCUUUGUCCAGGGGGCCGCCUUCGCCACCGGUAUUCCUCCAGAUCUCUACGCAUUUCACCGCUACNNNNNNNNNNNNNNNNNNNNAAGCCUGCCAGUUUCGAAUGCAGUUCCCAGGUUGAGCCCGGGGAUUUCACAUCCGACUUGACAGACCGCCUGCGUGCGCUUUACGCCCAGUAAUUCCGAUUAACGCUUGCACCCUCCGUAUUACCGCGGCUGCUGGCACGGAGUUAGCCGGUGCUUCUUCUGCGGGUAACGUCAAUUGCUGCGGUUAUUAACCACAACACCUUCCUCCCCGCUGAAAGUACUUUACAACCCGAAGGCCUUCUUCAUACACGCGGCAUGGCUGCAUCAGGCUUGCGCCCAUUGUGCAAUAUUCCCCACUGCUGCCUCCCGUAGGAGUCUGGACCGUGUCUCAGUUCCAGUGUGGCUGGUCAUCCUCUCAGACCAGCUAGGGAUCGUCGCCUUGGUGAGCCGUUACCUCACCAACAAGCUAAUCCCAUCUGGGCACAUCUGAUGGCAAGAGGCCCGAAGGUCCCCCUCUUUGGUCUUGCGACGUUAUGCGGUAUUAGCCACCGUUUCCAGUAGUUAUCCCCCUCCAUCAGGCAGUUUCCCAGACAUUACUCACCCGUCCGCCACUCGUCAGCAAAGCAGCAAGCUGCUUCCUGUUACCGUUCGACUUGCAUGUGUUAGGCCUGCCGCCAGCGUUCAAUCUGAGCCAUGAUCAAACUCUUCAAUUUAAAAGUUUGAUGCUCAAAGAAUUAAACUUCGUAAUGAAUUACGUGUUCACUCUUGAGACUUGGUAUUCAUUUUUCGUCNNNNNNNNNNNNNNNNNNNNACAGAUUGUCUGAUAAAUUGUUAAAGAGCAGGUGCGACGCGGCUUUCAGCUCAUCGUCGCGAGGUGGCGUAUAUUACGCUUUCCUCUUUCAGAGUCAA
rnacentral:rRNA from 1 species